rnacentral:rRNA from 1 species
UACAGAGGUCUCAAGCGUUGUUCGGAUUCAUUGGGCGUAAAGGGUGCGUAGGUGGCGAGGUUAGUCAGGUGUGAAAUCUCGGGGCUCAACCCCGAAACUGCACUUGAUACUGCCUUGCUAGAGUACUGGAGAGGAGAUUGGAAUUUACGGUGUAGCAGUGAAAUGCGUAGAUAUCGUAAGGAAGACCAGUGGCGAAGGCGAAUCUCUGGACAGUUACUGACACU